CCACAUGAAACCUUGACUGAUCGGAGGUUGACGAUUUCAUCGAGGUGCUAGCUCCCUUACAAAAAUCAACUCCUGAUGGCCGAUCACGUACCUUCUUUGAAUCUCACGGACUCUUCCAGAGGGAAGAAGGAUGCAAUUGGAAGAAUAAAAGAUGGAGGAGGAUGGAAGGGAGAACUCUUUCUCUCUUUAUUUUUUCUCUCUUCACAAACCCCACACCUAGACAACUAAGGCCCACGUCAAAGAAAACCUCACGCCCUCUCUAGUUUUUCCUCUCGAUGUGGAAUCAGAUUUCACACUAGGAAUACUGUAGAUCUCUCCCCCAUUGCACAAAAAUCAAAACUCUUCUAAUAAUGGGUGACAAGAAAUAAUAUGGGAUAAGGAUUAGGUUGUUUGAAUUCAAAACUCUUUUGAAUUCAAAUCUAACCAUCCAAUCCUCAUCCACACACCUAUCAGCCCUUAAGGAACUCGCCACCAACAUUUCUUCUGAAGAAAUACGGUGAAAAACUCUCAAUUGUUGCACAAGAGAGAGUAAUUCUCAUGUGGACGAUGAAGGGAUAA
rnacentral:lncRNA from 1 species